AUAAAAGGAUACCUUCGGGUAUACCCCAUCCGUGUCUACAUACUCUUGUUGCUUUGGCAGGCCGUGGUCUUCCACUGUGGGCUCUGCCUGCAUGUGCCUGCCAGAGGACCAAACUCUGAAUGUUAGUGAUGUCUGAAGAAUUACCUAUAUAAUAGUUA
rnacentral:misc_RNA from 1 species